AAAAAAUCCAGCAAAAUCUUUCAGAAACUAGACAUCAUGGGACACUUGUACUAAAGCACGAUUUGCAGCUUUUCUUAAACUCUAAAUAUUAUGUACAUACCUGCAAAGCAAGGUACUCCUGUAUACAUAAACACAGAGACAUUGAUACAACAAGGAAUCUGUAAUGGUUCUGUUGCAGACAUGAUAUACCGAUGUACUCCUUGCUCUUUUGGUAUAACUAUACCAAUCAAAACGUUAAAUGGC